rnacentral:rRNA from 1 species
UACGUAGGGUGCGAGCGUUAAUCGGAAUUACUGGGCGUAAAGCGUGCGCAGGCGGUCUGUUAAGACCGAUGUGAAAUCCCCGGGCUUAACCUGGGAACUGCAUUGGUGACUGGCAGGCUUAGAGUGUGGCAGAGGGAGGUAGAAUUCCACGUGUAGCAGUGAAAUGCGUAGAGAUGUGGAGGAAUACCGAUGGCGAAGGCAGCCUCCUGGGCCAACACUGACGCUCAUGCACGAAAGCGUGGGGAGCAAACAGG